GUACUUCACUUAUCACUCGUCUAGCCUUUAAUCUUCGCUUACUAGAAAACUCAUCGCUGGACUUCAUAGAUGAGUUAAGAAUUUAUCAUGGCUGUGACACGUUUAGACAAGCUCGGAUGUUAAAGAAAGAGGGGAAUGUAAUGUAUAUGCUAUAUGAUGAUAAAGGCAAGAUUCGGUUACCUAACCCGAACCUUGGCAUCUACGUUGUUCAAAACUUUUUGAUUGAGAUUGC
rnacentral:lncRNA from 1 species